UGGGGAAUUUUGGACAAUGGGGGCAACCCUGAUCCAGCAAUGCCGCGUGAGUGAAGAAGGCCUUCGGGUUGUAAAGCUCUUUUGUCAGGGAAGAAACGGUAGUAGCUAAUAUCUAUUACUAAUGACGGUACCUGAAGAAUAAGCACCGGCUAACUACGUGCCAGCAGCCGCGGUAAUACGUAGGGUGCAAGCGUUAAUCGGAAUUACUGGGCGUAAAGCGUGCGCAGGCGGUUGUGUAAGUCAGAUGUGAAAUCCCCGGGCUCAACCUGGGAAUUGCAUUUGAGACUGCACGGCUAGAGUGUGUCAGAGGGGGGUAGAAUUCCACGUGUAGCAGUGAAAUGCGUAGAUAUGUGGAGGAAUACCGAUGGCGAAGGCAGCCCCCUGGGAUAACACUGACGCUCAUGCACGAAAGCGUGGGGAGCAAACA
rnacentral:rRNA from 1 species